GACAAGAAGGAAAAAAUUUUUACACACCCCAGGUAUGAUGGAGAGAAGGAAUUAUUACAUGCACUAGGUUCAAGCAACCUAGGGUCAACCCCCAAGUAUAUGUAUGGUGGAUAGCGUGCAGCCAAAAAUUAGUAAUAUCCAAGGAUGUGGUGUGAUAUGCUUGGAGACCUCUUGCAAGGGCCACAUGCGGAGGCCGUGCAUGGGAGGUCUCAGCACCA
rnacentral:lncRNA from 1 species